CGAUAGAUUUCAAACCCGUCCAGCCUUCGCUUACAAUGUCGGUAGAUUUCGGACCGCUGGGAUGUUUCUCUAGAAAAGUUUCCGAGUAAACUGCACAUAUUCGUUUCUUUUGUUUCAUUUGAAAAAAAAAACAACAAUUCUGACAUCAGCAGAGAGUUAACUUUUUUCUGUUGAGAUUUUUUACCGUUCUUUUCGAAAAGUUUCCGAGUACUCUGCACAUGCUCGGUUGAAAUUAUUUGAAGAAUUUUGUGUAUACCACUUUUGUUUUGGUUUUUUGAUCAGUUUGUCGGCAGAAUUUGAACGGAGCACGUGUGCAGUGUGUUACAGUGAAAAGUUAAAAUGAUAAUUAAAGGAAGAUUUGGACCUUCAGAACCUUGUGCUACACCGUUUAAAAAAUCAACGCCACGACAAUGUGAACACGUUUUCGUGGCACGAUAUGCACCAAAAUACUGUAAAGGACAUCUAUUUUAUUAGGCUCCUUAAAGAUGCGGAACUGGAACAUAUUCCGGGAACUACCCAUAUAAAUCAUUUCUUCAACUCGGCUAAAGAUAGGUUUAACAAACUGUAAUUAUAUUAAUUUACACUGAAUUUUAAUUCCCGCAUUCCUUAUAUUUUACAAAAAGACUUAAUAAAAAUGUUCUAUCAUUAAAUUGAAAAAUAUAAACAGAAAAAUAUAAAGAAAAUAUCUAAAAAUUAGAUAAAGUUUUAGUAUUUCGGUUUUUCGAUCGAAUUUCGUAUCAAACAUCCGAAAAAUUUCCGAAUUUUGCAUUAAAAACAUCCUAUUAUUUUCCUAUUUUCGAAUGAAUUAUUCGAUUUUUUUCCGAUUUUCGAAUAAAACUAUAGAAUAUAUAAACUCCAAAAAUGCAUGACAUGUAUUUUUAUGGUGUUAGUGAAAAUUUGUAUGUAUGCUUCACACCUACGAUACUUUUUUUGAUUUUUCUCGUUCAUGAUGCUCGAUUUUGACGUGUGUGGAGGGAUCAUGCAUAUUCUUAUUUGCGACGUUUUUAUACCCUCCAACACAGUAUGGAGGGUAUAUAAAGUUUGCUUCCGAACGAAAUGAAGUAGGUGCAUAAAAUUUUACUCAAAUGUAUAUUAUGUCUGCAGGACUUUUGGUACUGAAAAUGGGCCAUGUACGUCCACUUUU